AAGAAAACAUGGGCUGGACCAGUCAAGAAAUUCUAGUUCUUGAUAAAAGGGUCUUAAAUCUACAUAAGCCAUUUUAUAUAUUGAUCAUUUCAAGAAACAAAAGUGAGAGAGUGUCCUCAUCUUAGCAGGAAUAGUCUUUGUGAAUGCCAUUUCAUAGCUAAAAAGUCUUUCUAAUUAAUCUCUUCAUCUUUGAAAAAUUUAUUGCACUUGUUUAUAUAUGAGUAAGAUUGCCACCUUCUUCAUCCUCAUUUUUGUAUAUAUAGCCAAAUUGAGAGAUAGCUACAUAAAUAGAGCUCUAUCUCUGUCAUUGUAUCUGUAUAUAAUGCCCACAGAACAUUAAUAAGGGAAAAGAAAACAAAAGAAAUAUUUGGCUUUUUAUUUUUUUUCUUGAAUAGAACAAUAAGAU
rnacentral:misc_RNA from 1 species